rnacentral:rRNA from 1 species
GAGAGUUUGAUCCUGGCUCAGGAUGAACGCUGGCGGCGUGCCUAAUACAUGCAAGUCGAGCGAAUGGAUUAAGAGCUUGCUCUUAUGAAGUUAGCGGCGGACGGGUGAGUAACACGUGGGUAACCUGCCCAUAAGACUGGGAUAACUCCGGGAAACCGGGGCUAAUACCGGAUAACAUUUUGAACCGCAUGGUUCGAAAUUGAAAGGCGGCUUCGGCUGUCACUUAUGGAUGGACCCGCGUCGCAUUAGCUAGUUGGUGAGGUAACGGCUCACCAAGGCAACGAUGCGUAGCCGACCUGAGAGGGUGAUCGGC